AUGUUUCAAGCCACUAGAGUCCCUGUGCCCACGGAAGUGAAGGUAACCUGCCUAAAUUAUUACCGCCCCGUAGCACUCACGUCGGUAGCCAUGAAGUGCUUUGAAAGGCUGGUCAUGGCUCACAUCAACAGCAUCCCCCAGGAUACCCUAUACCCACUCCAAUUAUCAUACCGCUCCAACAGAUCAACAGAUGAAGCAAUCUCUUUCGUACUCCACACUGCCAUUUCCCACCUGGACAAAAGGAACACCUAUGUGAGAAUGCUGUUCAUUGACUACAGCUCAGCGUUCAACACCAUAGUGCCCAUGAAGCUCAUCUCUAAGCUAAGGACCCUGGGACUAAACACCUCCCUCUGCAACUGGAUCCUGGACUUCAUGACGGACCGCCCACCAGGUGGUAACAACAACACGUCUCCCACGCUGAUCCUUAACACUGGGGCCCCUCAGGGGUGUGUACUUAGUCCCCUCCGGUACUCCCUGUUCACCCACGACUGCGUGGCCAAACAUGACUCCAACACCAUUAAGUUUGCUGACGACACAACAGUGGUAGGCCUGAUCACCGACAACGAUGAGACAGCCUAUAGGGAGGAGAUCAGAGAACUGGCAGUGUGGUGCCAGGACAACAAGCUCUCUCUCAAUCUGAGCAAGACAAAGGAGCUGAUCGUGGAUUACAGGACAAGGCGGGACGAUCAGGCCCCCAUUAACAUCAAUGGGGCUGUAGUGGAGUGGGUCGAGACUUUCAAGUUCCUUGGUGUCCACAUCACCAACAAACUAUCAUGGUCCAAACACACCAAGACAGUCGUGAAGAGGGCACGACAAAACCUUUUCCCCCUCAAGAGACCGAAAAGAUGUGGCAUGGGUCCCCAGAUCCUCAAAAAGUUAUACAGCUGCACCAUUGAGAGCAUCCUGACUGGUUUCAUCCCCGCCUGGUAUGGCAACUGCUCGGCAUCUGACCGUAAGGUGCUACAGAGGGUAGUGCGUACGGCCCAGUACAUCACUGGGGAACAGCUUCCUGCCAUCCAGGACCUAUAUACUAGGUGGUGUCAGAGGAAAGCCCAUAAAAUUGUCAGAGAGAACCAGUCACCCAAGUCAUAG
rnacentral:lncRNA from 1 species